UCCCCUAGUAACUGCGAGUGAAGCGGGAAGAGCUCAAAUUUGAAAUCUGGCAGUCUACUUGACCUGUCCGAGUUGUAAUCUAGAGAAGUGUUACCUGUGCUGGACCGUGUACAAGUCUCCUGGAAUGGAGCAUCAUAGAGGGUGAGAAUCCCGUCUUUGACAUGGACUACCUGCAUGCUGUGGUGCGCUCUCAAAGAGUCGAGUUGUUUGGGAAUGCAGCUCAAAAUGGGUGGUAAAUGCCAUCUAAAGCUAAAUAUUGGCGAGAGACCGAUAGCGAACAAGUACCGUGAGGGAAAGAUGAAAAGAACUUUGGAAAGAGAGUUAAACAGUACGUGAAAUUGCUGAAAGGGAAACGCUUCAAGUCAGUCGCAUUGGCUAGAAAUCAGCCUUGCUCUUGCUUGGUGUACUUUCUUGUCCAAUGGGUCAGCAUCGAUUUUGACUGCUGGAUAAGGUCUCUGGGAAUGUGGCAUCUCUGGAUGUGUUAUAGCCCAUUGCCGCAUACAGUGGUCAGGAUCGAGGAACUCAGCACGCCGCAAGGCCUUGGUGUCAAUACCCAUGUUCGUGCUUANGAUGCUGGCAUAAUGGCUUGAAUCGACCCGUCUUGAAACACGGACCAAGGAGUCUAACAUGCCUGCGAGUG
rnacentral:rRNA from 1 species